CUUAACUUCGGAACUGCAUUCCAAACUGGCGGACUAGAGUGCGAUAGAGGGAGGUAGAAUUCAGAGUGUAGCGGUGAAAUGCGUAGAUAUUCUGAGGAAUACCAGUGGCGAAGGCGGCCUCCUGGAUUGACACUGACACUCAGACGCGAAAGCGUGGGGAGCAAACAGGAUUAGAUACCCUGGUAGUCCACGCCGUAAACGAUGUCUGCUAGCCGUUGGGAGGCUUGACCUCUUAGUGGCGAAGCCAACGCGAUAAGCAGACCGCCUGGGGAGUACGGUCGCAAGAUUAAAACUCAAAUGAAUUGACGGGGGCCCGCACAAGCGGUGGAGCAUGUGGUUUAAUUCGAUGCAACGCGAAAAACCUUACCAGGCCUUGACAUCCUGAGAACUUUCUAGAGAUAGAUCGGUGCCUUCGGGAACUC
rnacentral:rRNA from 1 species